UUUUUUAUUUGUUUUUCUUUUUUAUUUAUUUUUUUUUUUAUUUAUUUAUUUGUUUGUUUAUUUGUUUGUUUGUUUGUUUUUUUUUUUUUUUUUUUUUUUUUUUUUUUNNNNNNNNNNNNNNNNNNNNNNNNNNNNNNNNNNNNNNNNNNNNNNNNNNNNNNNNNNNNNNNNNNNNNNNNNNNNNNNNNNNNNNNNNNNNNNNNNNNNUUUUUUUUUUUUUUUUUUUUUUUUUUUGUUCUGUUCUCUAAUGUCUGUCAUAUGUGAAUAGAAUAAGUAUUAAAAAAAUGUAUAAACAAACCUCUAAGUGUUUAUUACUAGUGGUACCGACCCAAGAGUUGAGCUGACUCUCUCUUUAUUUUGUUUAACUUUGCUCUUUUCUACUUUGUUUUACUUUGUUUUACUUUGUUUUACUUUGCUUUACUUUGUCUUACUCUGUUUUACUUUGUUAGUUAUUUUUUUAACUGACAUAACCUUAGUUAAAUCCUUCUUAUUUUAACUAAAGUUAUAAUAUUAUUUCAUUUUUUAUACGUACUUUUUUUACCUGUUUUUUUUUUUUUUUUUUUUUUUUUUUUUUUUUUUUUUUUUUUUUUUUACUUUCUAAAAUGAGCAAAACCAGAAGAGAAAAAGUAGGUGUUAAAGACACACCAGACAAAACCUCACAUAUUAAAAACAAAAAAAAAAACGUAUAUACGCACUUAAUUUUAACACUAUUAAUAUGUUUUAUAAUUAGAUUAUUAUCAUUUACAUUGUUUAACGUAAUUAAAGGAAGUGAUUAUAAUUAUAUAAACAAAUUAAUACAUAUAGAGGAUAGAAUAACAAAAGAAGACUUUAACAUAAACACUGUUCCUGGAACUGGAAUUGUAGAUACAUCUAUGGUUACAAAUAAUAAGAACAUAGAUGAAGAUUUGAAUAUAAUGAUAACAUACUUUGAAAAAAAUAAAAGAAAUAAUAAUUUGAAAUUUAUUUUAUUUAAAAAUAAAUCAAUGUAUUAUGCAUUUAAUUCAGAUAUAUAUAAUUUUAAAUAUAUUUACGAUAGUUAUGUAUUAAGUAAAUUAUAUAAAGAUAUAUAUUCAUCAUUAACAGUACGCAUAAAUCCAUUAUUAUUAAAAAUGUUAAAUUUUUUAAUUUUUAAAAAAAUAAUAAUUAAACCAUAUGAAAAUAUUACAAUUGGUAACACUGUUGUUAGUAACACUAUUGUUAGUAAAAUAUUACAAAAUGUUAUAAACAAUUACGAGUUACGUUAUUUUUUACUUAUAUGUUUUGUUGAUUUACUAAUAGCCUUUUUUUUAUUUGUAAUUGUCCAAAAAUUAAAAAAAGAAAAACAAUUUUUUAAGUAUAUAUAUCAAGAUUCAAAAGAAAAACAUAAAUUCUUAAAUUCUAUAUUAUUAAUAAAUAUAUAUUUAAACAACCCAUUAACUAUUUUAUCAAACAUAUUUUUAUCAUUUGACAAUUUUAAAUUAUUACUUAUUACUAUAUCUUUUUAUUUUACUAUUUUAAGAAUAAACAAAUUUACUAUUAAAAUAUUUAAUUUUUGUAACCUUUUAUUUAUUCUUAUAAUUAAUGCUAUACUCCUAUAUACUACUUCAUUACAAUAUAUAUUAAUAAUAAUAGGAAUAAAUCAUUUUAUUAUUUUUAUAAAUGAAAAAAUAAAUAAUUAUAAUAUUAAAGAAGUUAUAAAAUUUAGAAAGUUAUGUUUCAUUUUAUUUAAAAAUGCGUUAUUACUGACAACCACAUUUUUGAUUUAUUCUUUGCUUUUGCUUCUCUCUUAUCGUAUUAAUUUCAACUCACUGUCUUUUUUAAAUAAUACGAUAGUAAAUCAGUAUAAAAUAAUAUUUUUACAACCAAACUUGGGUAUUUUUUGGUAUAUCAAUUCACUGGUAAUAUAUAUGAGUAUAUAUGAACAUAUAUGCAUGUAUGUGUACAUAUUUAACAUUGUAAAGCAAAACUGGGUACAAUCAUAAUCAUUGUGCACAUACAACGCCUUCUCAACAUAAGUAUACAUACAUAUAUAUACAUACAUACAUAUAUAUAUAUAUAUAUAUAUGCAUGUACGUAUGUAUGCAUAUGCUGACCGUGUAAUAUUUUAUUCACACAUUUUAUAGAUAUUCAAAGAAUAUUACUACGCAUUUUUGUUCUUUUUUCACGUAAGCCAUUGUUACGUACGCAUAUGUACACACUUGCGUACUUUAAACAGAAAAAAUAAAAAAAAAUAAAGUAAAAUAAUAAUAAAAUAG
ensembl:lncRNA